AGCAGCCGGGGGCGCGUCUGUGGCCCCAGGCCCCGCAGGCCCCGCUCCCCGCACGGCCCCGCACUCACGCCACUCCAAACCCACCUGGUUGCUGUGCGCUGGCUGCUCCCUUUGACAAAACGCCGGUCCCUGACUGGCUGUGUCCUCACUGCCUUCACGGGUGACCCUGCCGAAGCCACGCUGUCUGCCCCUCCCAUCGGGCUGCUUUAUUCUGCACACAAGCCUCACCCCAAGCACCCCAUUUUACCCGCGCCCUGUCUGCCCCGCCAGGCCCCAGGCGGGCUGAGACGUUUGUCCCUUUUCCCUCUCUCACUGCUGUGUCCCCAGUGCCCAGGCCGUGGGUCGGCGCUUUCUUUGUAGGGCUUCGCGGGCUGGGUGAACUCGCAACGCAGGGUGAGAUUAAACACAGAUACUGAGCGAGGCCGAAGGGGGCUGGCGCCAUCGCCGGCUGGUCCCUGAGGCUGCAGGACCCGUAAAAAUGUCCACGGCCUUCCAGAAGACAGGUGGACCCCCCCGACCCACAGAGGGCGCUUAAGAAAACGAUCCCACAAACCGAGAGGAACCCACGUGGGAGCGAAGGCCUACACUGUGCCCCUCAGGACAGCAGGUGACAAGCAGCCACCCCGGAGAGUGAGGGGCUCAGUGACUCCGGUAGAAAACCUGCCUGGGAAAGGGACCUCGGCAGCCACCUCAGCACAGGGCGCACGUGAGUGAAGCUGCAGAUGGCAGCUCCCCGCAAAAGCCUGUCGGCUUGGGCCCCCUGUGUCACACAGUUUCCGGGUGGCCCUGGAGAAUGUGCUUACCAGGCCUUGUCCUUUCUCAUCUACCUGUGACCAGCCCACCUCCCCGUCUUUUCCCAAAUACACGCACACCUUGGAUGGCCUCCCUGUCUUUGAACUUCCAUGUUUAUGUGAAUUCCCCGUGUGCAAGUAUUAAAAUUCAGUUUUCUCCUGUUAA